rnacentral:lncRNA from 1 species
UCAUCAAUAAUGAAAUGGUUAAUAUACCUAUUGGUAAUGCACAGUAGAACCGGAUCUGGUAAUCCCUACACGUAGCUUCCAUUGGUUGAUCUUCGUUCCUGCAUUCUAAUCCUGUUUUUGUACAGGCGUCGAACAGUGUGUCAGGUGCUAGAUGCGCAUCACGUUCUGUAAAUUCCAACCAUUUAUCAAAAAUAUGUGUCCUGCAUUCACUUUGAUAUAUGAAAUAUUGUUCAUCACAAAUUGAUGGUCCUUCC